rnacentral:rRNA from 1 species
GACGAACGCUGGCGGCGUGCUUAACACAUGCAAGUCGAACGGAAAGGCCCCUUUGGGGGUACUCGAGUGGCGAACGGGUGAGUAACACGUGAGUAACCUGCCCUUGACUUCGGGAUAACUUCAGGAAACUGGGGCUAAUACCGGAUAGGAAUCCUUGCUGCAUGGUGGGGGUUGGAAAGCUUCGGCGGUUUUGGAUGGACUCGCGGCUUAUCAGCGUGUUGGUGGGGUAGUGGCUUACCAAGGCUUUGACGGGUAGCCGGCCUGAGAGGGCGACCGGCCACAUUGGGACUGAGAUACGGCCCAGACUCCUACGGGAGGCAGCAGUGGGGAAUAUUGCACAAUGGGCGGAAGCCUGAUGCAGCAACGCCGCGUGCGGGAUGACGGCCUUCGGGUUGUAAACCGCUUUCAGCAGGGGCGAAGCUUGUGGUGACGGUACCUGCAGAAGAAGCACCGGCUAACUACGUG